ensembl:lncRNA
GUCUAAAAUAGCUCCGACCGAGAGAGACGGGGGAGACGAUCUCAUCAGCGCCGCUGUCAGUCCGCUCACUGCUCGGCUGACAGAGCAGACGUGAGGUGAGUCGGGGGGAGGGGGGGGGGGGGGGCAGGGGGGCGUAGAGUGACCUUUUGACCUGGUUGGCCUCGGGUCGGUGGCCUGAUUCCCAGGAGCUCGGGUUGGGUUAAUUUUUUUCCACCUGAAUGUGAAGAUGUGAUUCAAUUGAUGAGUGAUUUUUAUCAGUGAGGCCAAAUCACUUGUUGUUUUUCAUGUGACUUUUAUUUUUCCUUUUUUAACGUUUCACACUCGUCUCUCAUUUUAGAACCUAAGUGCACUUUGCACUUCUCUCUGACGGCAUUUCAAAGGACCAGAAGAUGAGUCAGACGUGACGGCUUCAACACCCUGAAGAUCUCACGGUCAUCAGAGUCGCUCGCUUCCAGACGGCGCGCGGUGACCUUUGACCUCCGAAGACAACAGCGCCGCGUUAAAUCGGCCGAGUUACAAAGAAAGAAGCAGAAAAUUGAGUGAACGGGGAGGCGAGGGACACGGAGGUGAGACGAGGGUGUAGAGGGAGGGACACGGGUCAGAGGUCGGAGGGCAUCUCUGGCUGAGGGAAGGACAAGAUGAAUCACACAAGCAGUGGGAGGAGUUUGACACAGAGGUGGAGACAGAGGGGCGCAGGGGGGCCGGCUGGACAGCAGCUGGUGGGAGCGACACUGAGCGGUCAACGCACACGCGUGUGUGUUUUGUCCAUGUUGACGAGUGUGUGGCGCGAUGCGCUGACAGGAAGAGAGGGAGAGAAGAUGUGACACCCGGAGGUCACGUGCUCCCGUGAGGAUCCAGACCGAUCGAUGAGACCUCAUCAUAGACGCUAUGAAGCACGAGGCGAUGAAGCACGACGCUAUGAAGCACGACGCAAUGAAGCGCUAUGAAGCACGAGGCUAUGAAGCACGAGGCGAUGCAGCACGACGCUAUGAAGCACGAGGCGAUGAAGCACGACGCGAUGAAGCACGAGGCGAUGAAGCACGAGGCUAUGAAGCACGGAGCUAUGAAGCACGACGCGAUGAAGCACGACGCUAUGAAGCACGAGGCUAUGAAGCACGACGCUAUGAAGCACGAGGCUAUGAAGCACGACGCUAUGAAGCACGACGCUAUGAAGCACGACGCGAUGAAGCACGACGCGAUGAAGCGCGACGCGAUGAAGCGCGACGCUUUGAAGCACGACGCCAUGAAGCACGACGCGAUGCGCCGGCUUUUUGAUCAAAAUAGUCGCAUGUUUUGGAGAAAUGGGGAAAUAGGAGGAAGAGGGACACGCCUCCUCCUCCUGGCGGUGUGGGCCACAUCUGAAGCACGCCGGCUCCUCCUGAGCUCGGCGGGAAGCACGAGGAGCCGACGCCUCUCCUCAGCCGGGCCAGAAGGAUCCUGGGUGGGCUUUCUGGAAGGAUCCCGGUGUUCGUGUGAGGGGUUCACGCAGGGGGCAAGACGGGAACACUCAGCUUCAAUCAGAUCACAAUCCAUAAUAGAUGGGCCCUGUAAAUAUCUUAUGAGGGACGGCUAUGGAGCAAAUGACUCAGGAACACACACACACAAGGACACACACACACGUGCAAACAAAAGAACCCAAACAGCAGAAGCCUGCAGAGGAGACGUCCCACCCCGAGUGUGUUUAUCUAAUAUUCAUGGA